AGAAUGAACGUUGGCGGCGUGGAUUAGGCAUGCAAGUCGAACGGGCCGCAAGGCCAGUGGCGGAAGGGUGAGUAAGGCGACGGUAACCAACCCCAUGGUUGGGUAUAGCCGCGGGAAACUGCGGGUAAUCCCCAGCGACGUCCGAGCCGGGCAUCCGGCACGGACCAAAGUCCUGGCGCCGUGGGACGGGCCGUCGUGGUAUUAGGUAGUUGGCGGGGUAACGGCCCACCAAGCCUAUGAUGCCUACCGGGCGUGCGAGCGUGGCCCGGCACACUGGGACUGAGACACUGCCCAGACUCCUACGGGAGGCUGCAGUCGAGAAUCUUCGGCAAUGGGCGCAAGCCUGACCGAGCGACGCCGCGUGGAGGAUGAAGGCCUUCGGGUUGUAAACUCCUGUCGAGGGGGAGGAAGGUCGGGUAACCGGCUUGACCGAUCCCUGGAGGAGCACGGGCUAAGUUCGCGCCAGCAGCCGC
rnacentral:rRNA from 1 species